UCGGGAAUUUUGGGCAAUGGGCGAAAGCCUGACCCAGCAACGCCGCGUGAAGGAUGAAGUAUUUCGGUAUGUAAACUUCGUAAGAAUAGGAAGAAUAAAUGACGGUACUAUUUGUAAGGUCCGGCUAACUACGUGCCAGCAGCCGCGGUAAUACGUAGGGACCAAGCGUUGUUCGGAUUUACUGGGCGUAAAGGGCGCGUAGGCGGUGUGUCAAGUCAGUUGUGAAAUCUCCGAGCUUAACUCGGAACGGUCAACUGAUACUGUCACACUAGAGUACAGAAGGGGCAAUCGGAAUUCUUGGUGUAGCGGUGAAAUGCGUAGAUAUCAAGAGGAACACUUGAGGCGAAGGCGAGUUGCUAGGCUGACACUGACGCUGAGGUACGAAAGCUAGGGGAGCGAACGGGAUUAGAUACCCAAGUAGUCCCUGAGCGGGCUGGCAAGGCGCAU
rnacentral:rRNA from 1 species